AUUGAACGCUGGCGGCAGGCCUAACACAUGCAAGUCGAACGAGUGGCGGACGGGUGAGUAAUGUCUGGGAAACUGCCCGAUGGAGGGGGAUAACUACUGGAAACGGUAGCUAAUACCGCAUACCAUCGGAUGUGCCCAGAUGGGAUUAGCUAGUAGGUGGGGUAACGGCUCACCUAGGCGACGAUCCCUAGCUGGUCUGAGAGGAUGACCAGGCAACCGGGGACUGGGGAAAGGUCCAGACUCCUACGGGAGGCAGCAGUGGGGAAUAUUGCACAAUGGGGGCAAGCCUGAUGCAGCCAGGCCGCGUGUAUGAAGAAGGCCUUCGGGUUGUAAAGUAAUUUCAGGGAGGAGGCGUUUCUCGCAGAAGAAGCACCGGCUAACUCCGUGCCAGCAGCCGCGGUAAUAC
rnacentral:rRNA from 1 species